AAACAUGGACACUUGAACUCAGAUCUUGGUCGGUAAUUUAAAGAUGAGCAGGGAAACAGCUCACGAACAUUUAAUCAGAUCCCUUGGACAGGUUUUGUUCACUACUGCAAUGUGUGUUAAUUGCA